GGGCGGGUGGUGGAAAUGGCAGACACGAUAGAUUUAGGAUCUAUUGGGCGAAAGCCUGUAAGGGUUCAAGUCCCUUCUCGCCCACCA
rnacentral:tRNA from 1 species